AUACGUAGGGUCCAAGCGUUAAUCGGAAUUACUGGGCGUAAAGCGUGCGCAGGCGGUUGUGCAAGACCGAUGUGAAAUCCCCGGGCUUAACCUGGGAAUUGCAUUGGUGACUGCACGGCUAGAGUGUGUCAGAGGGGGGUAGAAUUCCACGUGUAGCAGUGAAAUGCGUAGAGAUGUGGAGGAAUACCGAUGGCGAAGGCAGCCCCCUGGGAUAACACUGACGCUCAUGCACGAAAGCGUGGGGAGCAAACAGGAUUAGAUACCCUGGUAGUCCACGCCCUAAACGAUGUCAACUAGUUGUUGGGGAUUCAUUUCCUUAGUAACGUAGCUAACGCGUGAAGUUGACCGCCUGGGGAGUACGGUCGCAAGAUUAAA
rnacentral:rRNA from 1 species